rnacentral:pre_miRNA from 1 species
CACAUACUCCCUCCGUCCAAAAAUAUUUGUCAUCAAAAUAAAUAAAAAGGGAUGUAUCUAGAUGUAUUUUAGUUCUAGAUACAUUCCUUUUUGUCCAUUUUGAUGACAAGUUUUUUCGGACGGAGGGAGUACCUC